GAGCCACGUGGCCCCCUCCUGAUUUUUCAUAUUUUUUUUUAAUUUUUUUUUUAUAUUUUAUUUGGAACGCUUGCGACAAAAACAGAACAAGAAAGCCAACCGACACCUUCUUCUACAACUCUCCCACAACUCUAUCCUCCAACUUUUACAUAUAUGAUAACCAUCAGACGCAUUCCUUCGCCUCUUCUCAUCUUCAACUUUUCUCAAAUUCCAGUUUCUAAUUUUAUCAAUUUCCUUCCCUUACUGAGGCAAAUAUUUGUAUAAACCCUAUUUGUAAAAUUUCCAAUUCUAAGACGGUUUCUAUUUCUCAAUUUCUAAUUCCUUCUAGCAAUUGAAUUGGGAAAACUGAAUCUUCUUCUCAAUAUUUAUACAGUUGGUUAGGGAUUGAAGAUUUGCCGACUAUUUGCGUUGAAGGUUAAAGAAUUUUCUCGCGAAUUCAAUCGGUGGAGUUCAACAGAAAAAUGUUCAAGGAGGAGGAGAGAGAAGAAACAGAAAAGCUUUAGGAGACAUUGGAUAUGUAGUAACUUCAAGAGGGAGAUUAAUUGUUGAUGUGGAUGGUAUUGUAAAACCUCAAGCAAUUAACUGUCCUCUCACUAGGAGAUUCUGCGCCCAAUUACUUGCAAAUGCACAAGAAGAUGCUGAGAAAAAAAAGGGUUAUUGAAAAUUGUAGAAUUGUGAAAUUGGAGCAUGAUUUCUCUAAGAGCCAAUGGACAAACAUAAGAUGCAACUUUUGGAAUUUGGAAAUCAAUACUUCAGAUGAUCUCCGGCAUAUAGCGGAUAAGUAAAACUAAACACCAUUGUAACUUCUUUAUUCGCAACUACAAAUAAAUAAGACAGCAAGGAAAGCAUUCCCUUUGUUAUAUCUUUUAUUCCAUUCUGUAUUAUAAGCCAUUUUCCUCAAUUGUUUGAUAUUAAUGUAAUUUUUAAAUAUAUGAAAAUAAAAA